AGUAGUAUUACUAUAACAAACUGAUGUAUAAUGGCGGUUUGAAUAAAUCAGAGAAACUCGUUUAUUAAUCGACAACACCCGCUAAAUUUCACUUAAUAUAAAAGUCUAUAUACCUCCGUUUCAGAGCUUAUUAUAAUAUAAAGCCCCACCACUACUAGCUAUAUAAAAAAUCAGGUCAAGGUGUAGCCCACAAUUAAGAUAAAAUAAGUUACAUUAAAAAUAAUUUAAGGAUAGAAGAAACAAUUCUAAAAAGAAAAAGAAUUUAACAGUACAUUAGAUUAAAAUUUUGAAUAGAACUAAAAAAUUCAAACGC
rnacentral:rRNA from 1 species